rnacentral:rRNA from 1 species
GAUGAACGCUGGCGGCGUGCCUAAUACAUGCAAGUCGAGCGAAUGGAUUAAGAGCUUGCUCUUAUGAAGUUAGCGGCGGACGGGUGAGUAACACGUGGGUAACCUGCCCAUAAGACUGGGAUAACUCCGGGAAACCGGGGCUAAUACCGGAUAACAUUUUGAACCGCAUGGUUCGAAAUUGAAAGGCGGCUUCGGCUGUCACUUAUGGAUGGACCCGCGUCGCAUUAGCUAGUUGGUGUGGUAACGGCUCACCAAGGCAACGAUGCGUAGCCGACCUGAGAGGGUGAUCGGCCAAACUGGGACUGGGACACGGCCCAGACUCCUACGGGAGGCAGCAGUAGGGAAUCUUCCGCAAUGGACGAAAGUCUGACGGAGCAACGCCGCGUGAGUGAUGAAGGCUUUCGGGUCGUAAAACUCUGUUGUUAGGGAAGAACAAGUGCUAGUUGAAUAAGCUGGCACCUUGACGGUACCUAACCAGAAAGCCACGGCUAACUACGUGCCAGCCGCCGCAGUAA